GUGGGGAAUCUUGGACAAUGGGCGCAAGCCUGAUCCAGCCAUGCCGCGUGAGUGAAGAAGGCCUUAGGGUUGUAAAGCUCUUUUGGCAGGGACGAUAAUGACGGUACCUGCAGAAUAAGCCCCGGCAAACUUCGUGCCAGCAGCCGCGGUAAUACGAAGGGGGCUAGCGUUGUUCGGAUUUACUGGGCGUAAAGCGCACGUAGGCGGAUUGUUAAGUCAGGGGUGAAAUCCCGGAGCUCAACUCCGGAACUGCCUUUGAUACUGGCAAUCUUGAGGCUGGAAGAGGUUGGUAGAAUUCCCAGUGUAGAGGUGAAAUUCGUAGAUAUUGGGAAGAAUACCAGUGGCGAAGGCGGCCAACUGGUCCAGAUCUGACGCUGAGGUGCGAAAGCGUGGGGAGCAAACAGGAUUAGAUACCCGAGUAGUCC
rnacentral:rRNA from 1 species